AUUUGCUCAGCACCAUUCCUUCCCUCUGGUUUGUGCUGGUUCUCCCAAGGCGUGGGUGUGGCCUCACCAGGGAAGAAUGAUUUAUCAAAGAUAUAAAUCAAAAUGACUGUUUAGCAGCACUGAUUAGCUUCAGAUGAGUAUUUGUGGAAGCACAAUAGCAUCUAAACAUGCCAUGUCUUGGCUACCGUGGCACGGCGUGUCUCGUUUAGUCCACAUGCCCAUCUGUGUGUGCCCUUUAGUGCCUGUAAAGAUUUAAAAUUGCAAAGAGAAGAAUUUUAUCUCCUGUUGAGGACAACCCCAUUUCACACGCACCAGCUCUGCAAUCCGGAGGGUGUAAUUCAGGCGUGCAGGACGCGGCUCUGCAGACACGGCCAUACAUCACCUCGGCACGGCUGCCAUGCACUGCAUCCCCUGCUCACACCUCCCCUCCGUCCUUCCCCAGGAGCAGUGAGCGAACGAACCAGUUGCACAUCUGCACUGAGCAAGCCAAAGCAUGAAUCCUGAAGGCACGAGUGGAAACAAAGAGGUCAGUGCCUUCAGAGCCCCCAGCUCUGUGCACACGGUGCCGGCCCAUUGCCCACCAGCAGCGUGGGGCUGCAGUGGGUGCUGUGGGGCUUCAUGCUGCAGCUGCCCCAGAGAAGGCCAGCAGAGACCCUGCUGGUGUGCAUCACCAUUGGAAACAAGAGGGGGAAUGGGUGUUGCUUAGCAAUGCACUACGGCACGCUCCAGUCCUGGGGAAUGGGCAAAGAGCUGUCAGAAACCCCAGCAUUAUUAUUACUGUUAUUGCAAGAGCACCCAGAUGCACACGGCGCUUUGCAGACAAAAGUAAUCGGUGGUCCUUCAGCCUGUGGAGCUGCAGUGGCACAGGAUGCUGCCCCAGGCAGCAGUGGACACGGGCUGUGGAGCAGAACAGCACAGCAUGGCCCCUUUUGGCCCUCUCCCUGCACCCACUGAUGGUGUGGGAAGGUUUCUUUCUGAGCACGUUAAAGUGAGAAGUGAG
rnacentral:lncRNA from 1 species